rnacentral:rRNA from 1 species
AACCGGAUUAGAUACCCUGGUAGUCCACGCCCUAAACGAUGUCAACUAGGUGUUGGGAGCGCAAGUUCUCAGUACCGCAGCUAACGCGUGAAGUUGACCGCCUUGGGAGUACGGUCGCAAGAUUAAAACUCAAAGGAAUUGACGGGGACCCGCACAAGCGGUGGAUGAUGUGGAUUAAUUCGAUGCAACGCGAACAACCUUACCUACCCUUGACAUGUCUGGAAGCCUGCUGAAAGGCGGGUGUGCCCGAAAGGGAACCGGAACACAGGUGCUGCAUGGCUGUCGUCAGCUCGUGUCGUGAGAUGUUGGGUUAAGUCCCGCAACGAGCGCAACCCUUGUCCUUAGUUGCUACGCAAGGGCACUCUAAGGAGACUGCCGGUGACAAACCGGAGGAAGGUGGGGAUGACGUCAAGUCCUCAUGGCCCUUAUGGGUAGGGCUUCACACGUCAUACAAUGGUCGGUACAGAGGGUAGCCAACCCGCGAGGGGGAGCCAAUCCCAGAAAGCCGAUCGUAGUCCGGAUCGCAGUCUGCAACUCGACUGCGUGAAGUCGGAAUCGCUAGUAAUCGCGGAUCAGC